UGACAUCUGACUCUAAGGGACGAUCAGAGAAAACGUCGAAGUCAAAAAAUUGUGGGUACAAGCACUGCUGAAAGAAACAGGAGAUUGGACGUUGGUCUGUGUUGAAGAAAACGCUUCUGGGUCGCGGAGAUAAUCUUGUCUGGAGCUGAAACAACACCUCUCUUCUCUUUCUCUUCAUCUCUCGUUACAAGACGUCGGUGAAAAAUGCCUGUCAUCAUAGGAUGCACGAAAGAGAACAAUUGCAAAAAGCUUGCAUUUUUAAAAGCCAAGAUGCUUGAACAAGCUCGGGCCGCAGAGAAGAGCAAAAGCAACGAGGUGGGUGCUAGCUCGAAGGAACCCAUGAAAACGCCUCCCCUGCGUUCCACCGACGCCGAGUCGAACCGCGAGUCAAGAAUCGUGGAACAGCUGGAGGACGAAGAAGUCGAGCAAGGACCGAUCGAAGGGGCCGAGGUUCCAGCUGAACUUCGCGAAACAGCUGGCCAAGCUGAAGGAACGAAUAACGAAGACCCGACUGACGCCUAGGGCAUUUGAAAAUUCAUCAGCACCAGCCAAGAAUACUAUCAAAGAAAGGAAGAAGGAAGAACUUGACCACAGAGCAGAAAUCUUGGCAACCGAUCCUCGAAGGGACGCUCCUAAUUUACUGAC